rnacentral:rRNA from 4 species
AACGACUCUCGGCAACGGAUAUCUCGGCUCUCGCAUCGAUGAAGAACGUAGCGAAAUGCGAUACUUGGUGUGAAUUGCAGAAUCCCGUGAACCAUCGAGUCUUUGAACGCAAGUUGCGCCCGAAGCCAUCCGGUCGAGGGCACGUCUGCCUGGGCGUCACACG